AUUGAACGCUGGCGGCAUGCUUUACACAUGCAAGUCGAACGGCAGCGCGGGCUUCGGCCUGGCGGCGAGUGGCGAACGGGUGAGUAAUACAUCGGAACGUGCCCAGUGGGGGAUAGCUCGGCGAAAGCCGGAUUAAUACCGCAUACGACCUGAGGGUGAAAGCGGGGGAUCUUCGGACCUCGCGCUAUUGGAGCGGCCGAUGGCAGAUUAGCUAGUUGGUGGGGUAAAGGCCUACCAAGGCGACGAUCUGUAGCUGGUCUGAGAGGACGACCAGCCACACUGGGACUGAGACACGGCCCAGACUCCUACGGGAGGCAGCAGUGGGGAAUUUUGGACAAUGGGCGAAAGCCUGAUCCAGCAAUGCCGCGUGUGUGAUGAAGGCCUUCGGGUUGUAAAGCACUUUUGGCGGGAACGAAAAGGACUGUGCCAAUACCACGGUUCGAUGACGGUACCCGCAGAAUAAGCACCGGCUAACUACGUG
rnacentral:rRNA from 1 species